UGCCUGGCUUCCAAGAAGGUCGGAGCCAACCUCGGCCUCGUCCCACUAACGCAGCAGCAGCCCCUCUCUUUUAUUUCCCUCUCAACUUGCCUUCCGUCGCUGCCACCUCUCAGUCAUCUCUGAAGGUCAGCCAAGAUCCACUGUACGAAGCUUUAAUGCAAUCCCUGGCUUCUCCCCAGGUUGGUCUUCAGGUGUCAGUCUCAAGAGUGUGUUUCUGCUCGGUGUCCAGAAGAGUUCUGGUUAUUGCAUUUUUAAACACCAGCAAAAAAAGCUUAAAAUCCUAGGACUGGAAGGGGCCUUGGUGUUCAUCUGACCCCCACGCUCAAAGACCCCCAUCUGGUGGUCUGACCCCCAUGCAGGCAGCACGCUACUCCUAAAUCAGGGAUGCCCAGCUGGCAGUCCAAAGGAUGCAUCCAGUUAACAUGUGGUCCCAAGGCUCCUGGUUUGUCUGCCACUUCCCCCACUGCUCCUGCUGUUGUGGUCCUUGGGGUCCUGCUUCCUCCAGCUUUCACUUCUGACCCCCAUCCUUGGGGGCAGAGCAGGGCAGGGCAGCCUGCCCCAUGGAGCCUGCGAUCCACAGUGAGGCUCAGGACACCCUUGCAGGACAGCAUCGGAAGAGGAUGCCCACUGUGCACCUGGGAAGCCUGUGUAGCAUGGCUGCAGGGGGCCUACAGCAAGGGCACCAGUUCCUUGGGGGAUGCCUGCCCCAUGGCUUGUAGCUCAGGGUGCAAAUGGCCCCUGGCUGUUCAGAAGUUGAACCAGCCCAUAAAGCAGGAGGGCUUUGCUUGACUCCGUGCAUGUACCGGUGCCAAAGCUGAGCAGCAAGGAGCUAUGCCUACGAUGCUACUGCUUUGCCCAGGCCCCUGCCCACACACCAACCUCCUCAAGGCUGUGGCACAGGCACAGAUUCCAGCAAACCAAGCUCAGAGCAGCUCCCCAGCAACUGGCAGCUAUGCUCACACCCCAGCUGAGGAGUGGGGAGGGGCUGGGGGAAAAUACAUCAUCACAGAAGCAGCUCCCAGUGGCCUGGCCCCAGCACUGAUUCACAGAUGAAGCUACCCAGCCCACGACAGACCAGAGCUAGGUUGUUCUGGUCUGCUGCUUGAAAAGAUUGCCAGCUGCUGCCCUAAACCUGUGGUUCUCCACCUUGUUAGACUCAAGGCACCCCUCAGAAAAUGCCAGCUCUUAGCUUUUGUUCAUUUUUGACUACAGAAAUAUAAUAUAGCAAUUCUUUUUGUGCAAGGAACUCAGACUACAGGAGGGCAGAAUGUUUUUGACACUAUGGAUUCCUGUUUGAAAGGUCUCAGUUUAUGUUGUAAAUCGUGUAGGUAGAUGUUUGCAUACCUAAAAGGGCUAAUAUUGCCUGGCACCCCACAGCACCCUUAAAAGGAUCUCACAGUACGCCAAGGUGCCAUGGGAUCCUGAUUAAGAAUUACUGCCUAGAUAAGGCCUAACUAGCACCAAAUAGAGUUAUGCUAUUGCUUCCUGCACAUCUACGCAUGCAAUUAAUGCACCUGAAUUUUCUCUGCAGAAAGUUCAGCUCAUUAAAGUGCUCUGGGAUGCAUGUCUAUACGAGCAGCCCCAUUGGGAGCAAAUUGCGCCUGACAGAAGUAGCCCAGUCCAGGGUGGCUCCUGCCCUGCUCUGCCAUCCUGCAGCAGAGCCAGGGGGAGCUACAGCCUCCACUGGGUGCCAGCGCCAUGGCUGCAGGGGCACGGGAGGUGGCACAAGGGCUGGUCCUGAUUCUCACCUUCCAGGAGAGCUGUUCCUGCUCAGUGGGGACCACUGCCUGCCAGCCACGUGGUAAUUGGCAGGGUCCCAAUCCCCACAUGGCCGGGAGAGUGGUCGUCACUUGGGUGGCAGGCAGCAUACCUCCCCUCCCAAGUGGGAAGUGGGACCUUCAUGUGGCUGGCCAGCAGUAUACCUGACAACCAAGCUCUCCCAACCAAGUAAGGAUUGGGUCCUGACCUGAUCUCCAUGUGGUCGGGACACAGCAAUCCUGGCUGCCAGGACAGCUCUACCAGCCUCAUGGGGAUUGGGUCAGGACCCAAUCUUCACAUAGCAGGUAGACAGCUGCUCCUGCACCCAGCAUAUGUUCCCACCCCCCCCCACCCACAUCAGGGCUUGCAUAUGUGUAAAUGGUGACUAAUGGUAAUCUAAUGCGCCUUAAAACUUAGAUUAAUGUGCAGUAAAGCAUCUAAUGUAGAUGUGCCCACCCCCGUGUUUUAUGCCUAAUACUUCUAUUGAUGCAGCCCAAAAUAACGUUUUCUUUUUUGUGUGACUACAUCACAUAGUUGACUCAUAUUGAAUUUGUGAUCCACCAAAACCCCCAGCUCUUUCUCAGAAAUCCUUUCUACCACCCAUUCAGUUAUUUCCUAUUUGUGUACUUGGUUAUGGUUAUUCUUCCCCAGGUUUAGCACUUCACAUUUGUCUGUGUCCAAUUUCACUCUGUUGUCACUAGCCCAGCUCUCCAAUCAAUAUCCUUUUGAAUUCUACUCCUAUUCUCCAAAGUCCUUCCCCUCUCUUUAAAUGUUCCUCUAUUUUGGUAAUCAUACAUCCAUUUGUGUUGUGUCAGAGUUGAUGGUAGUUUUACAUAGAAUUUCCAUUAUGGGUUGUAUGGGACAGUUUGGGUAGGGAUGAUCCUGUCUCAGAUGGCCUAUGGAGGUUCCUUCCAGCCCUGCUUCUCUCUUAUUCUAUGAUUUUCAGCCUUUAUUUAUUGAAGGGGUGUCUGGCAUAAGGCCUGCAGGCUGGAUCCAGCCUAUGGAGCUACUCAUUCAGCCCUGGGUAAUAUGGCGAUUGGCAAUAAGAGCAUGACCAAGAGUUAACAGUCCUGGUCACCCUCUGGCCUCUUCUCCUGUCACCACGGCUGUGACCCUAGCUCCUUGACCACUGACCCCACUGCUGCCACAUGCUGGAGCUACUGCCACUGUCGCCACCACCAUCACCACCAUGUGCCCUGUGCCUGAGCUAGAGCUAGAGCUGCCACUGCAGUAUGGCACACACAACAGGAGCUGGAGCUGUGCUGUGUGCCCUAUGCUGGAGCCAGAACUGCUGCCAUUGGCACCACCACUGCCAUGUGCCCUGGGCUGGAUCUAGCCCACAAAAAGCCCCACAGUCCAGAUAUGGUACAGGGCAUAAAGUGAGUUUGACACCACUCCCUUAUUGACUUGCUUCAGUAGGUUUUCUCUUGCCUAUCCAUAAUGCAGUUUGGUAAACUUGUAUGGUAAUCUUGCUCUGCAAGGUGUCCAAGUGGGGUGAAUAUUAAAGGUUAGAAGCUGCUAUCAUUUGCUGUUUUGGUGGGGAUUGAUGUGAACUGAACUGGUGAUCUCAGUUCUUCACCCCCCUUUCCCUCAUACUUUCAGCCUAUAAAUUAUGAAGGACAUUUGCUACGUUGAGCUCAGUUUGUGACAUCUCACAAUUUCCAGACCAAUAGUUUGUGCUGACACAGGACUGGGAGCAUACAUGUAAGAAGGACCUGUGAGACCCUCACAAGGCCUACAAGAUAUGUCUUCAACCAACCCUGUUCCACCAGUACAGAAAAGGGACAGAGCCAUAAACCAUUUCUCCUGUGUGACUUCCUAGUUUCUAGCACCAUAGCUGAACUUUCAUUGUUUUGAAACCAGAUGUUCAAGUACUGAGACCUGCAUAGGCCUUGCAUAGGUGGAUAAAUGGUACUUCCUUUCUCAUUCUCCCACCCUGCUUAUGGACUCCUGAGGGGAUAGUAACAGUCUAGUAUGGGUAUCAUAAAGCAAGGAAAGAGACUGCAGUUAAUGAAACGGAGCAUCUAGGUUUGCUCAGAAACCCAUAUUUCAGUUCUAAAAUAUUCUUUAUAAAAAUGCAAAACAAGAACUCUUGCUCUGAGCACAAAUGAUUCAAAUGCUGAAAGUCCCUUUAUCUGUUGACCUUUCCUUUAAAGCAGAAAUGGUCCUUUUAAUACCUUUAUGAAGUUUCACAACCUUCACAAACUAGUUUGAUAUUGGAUUAGCUGUAAUAUGGGUCAUAUGAGCAGCAAGAAAGCAUUACUUGUUUCAGUAGCAUGUGAUCUACAUUUGCUCAACUCAGGUUUAAGGACAACACUGCCUUGCGACAUGCCUACUAAUGCAUGGCAUACUAAAAGCAAAAUGCCUGGAUCAUGUACUCCAUAUAGCUAACUGAUUUGUCCCCAUGCAUUGAAAAUCAAAACAAAUGCUCUCCAAGUAUCGAUCUGGCAUGAAAUGAACUGAAUUGAUACCACAGUUCCUUGCACAUCCUAGACUCCAAAGGUCUGGUUAAUUCUGUGCCGUCAUGGUAUUUAUUUGUCAAAGGUGUCAAAGAAAAAAUAUUGCCUGAUGUAUAUUAGAUGCUUAACCAAGUUAGCCAAUCAUCUUUCUAUUGUUCUACCAAGACAUGGGAAAACAUACUCAGGGUGCAUCUACAUGUCGCCCUAUGGCGAUGUUUUUACUGCACCAUGCUUUUGCACUUUCUUUUGGGAGUACUAAAGCAUGGUGCAGUAACUACCUGUACUAUGCCGUGCACACAGCGUACAGUUAGUUUUUGCCACUAUUUUGACAUAGCAGCAUGCUAAAAUGGUGCAGUAUGCCACUAUGGCGAAGUAGCUACCAAUCACGUGUAGACUCACAAGAUUGCUAUGCCACCAUAGCGUGUCAUAUGGUGAGGUAGUGCAUCGCAAUGGUGAAGUAGGGGGAUGUGUAGAUGCAUCCUCAGUAGAUUAGCUGAGUUUGGAUUAUUGCACCCAUAAUGGUACAAUGCUGUCUAGGUAGUAGAGAAGUUAUUUGGAAGAACUGGGCGUGUCUACAUGUGCACAUUUACUGCACAAUAACCAAAAUUACUACGCAGUACGGGUGCGUGUCUACAUGUGCAUGCCUGUAUUGUGCAGUAAAUAUGACAACAUACCAACUUGAGCAUAAAUUUGAUACCUGCAUUAUGCAGGUAUCAAAUUUACACCCAAUUAGUUACUGCAUAGUAACAUGUGUAGAUGCCUUACUGCACAGUAACACUGUGUGCAUGUUCUGAAUUUGCCUGAUAGUUUAAGAUCAGAUUUGAUUGAGGGAUGUUUAUAGCCUUAUAGAAGUGGAACAUUGGCUGCCAUGGUUCCCCUGUUUUACCUGCAAGGGUAGGGUGUUACGUCUAUGUUGUGUCAGGGUUGAGGGUAGUCUUUUAUAGAGUUUAAAUCAUGGUUGUAUAGGAUGGUUUGGAUAAGGAUGAUCCUUCCUCAGGCAAGGGGGUGGAGUAGAUGACCUCUGGAGCCCCCUUCCAGCCACACUUCUCUAUGAAUUCUAUGACUUCUAAGUCUAUAGCAUUUUCAAGCAUCACAAUAUAUGAGUACUAGCUCUCUCUGAUGCAAACAUCUGUGUUUUUUGUCAGCCCUAGUCUGGCUGACACAACAGUAACUCAAUUUGAUGAAAAUCACAUUAUCCUUGUUUUGCAGUUUAUACUGCUAGCUUAUUGGUUAAUAGUUUCUGCUUGGAUUCCCUCUGUGUACAAAUAUGUGGAGAAGUGCAUAUGCUAUGUGUAUAGGCCAAGGUUUUUAGAAGCAGUCAAUGAUCUUUUUACUGUAAAUGUUUUGUUUUUUUUAAUUGAUUUUGCAGGUGGCAUUUAAACUGUGUGCCUCAGGGCUUAGAAAAACUGCCAAAAGAUUUUGUGCUGUUCUCUUGAAUUUUGAAAAUGAUCUACUCAGUCUGAUCAAAGGGCAAAGGCAGUAUAUUGUUGUUUUCAGAUACAGGGAUCUUUGGCCACUGGAUCUUGUGCUACAAAGGAAACUGGACUUAAAUUAUGCGGCUGGGUCCUUGCAGUCUGUGGCUGGCUUGGUGGCCUAGAAAUACUGAGUAAACUUACUGGGAGUGAGAUAAAGGAGAAGAGACCCCAUCGUAACAGAAGCUGGAUGCAAUGUCAUAGAGUUGGGAAAAAGAUGAUAACUCAUCAGGCUCUUCCUGUCUGGAUCAGAGAAUAAAAGAAACCUAUAGGGACUGAUUUUUAUUUCAUAGCAUUUCAGCUGUGGCUCAGCUCCUAAUUUAUGUUAAAGGAAAAUCAGACCUAUUAUAUUAUGCUGCAAUAUGAUGAGCACAGAUAAGGGAAACUGAGUUUUAGAACUGGCAAUCUACAAUGUAUUUGUUACCUUAGUGCGGUUUGCAGUGCAUCUGUGACAUACAGAAGCUGUAGGCCCUCCUUUGAGACCACAGUGAAGUCAGAGGCUGCCAUAAUAGAGGACCAGCUAAUUCAAUGGGGGCAGCACAGAAUUACUCUCUCUGAGGACACAGUCCAACAUAUGUACUAGAACAGUAUAUACUGCCACCAAUAGAGGAAAUUAUUAUUGUUACAGUCAUCUUUAAUAGACAAUAACAUAUUGAAUUCAUUAAUGAAUUUUAAGCAGUCCUAUUUAAAACUUAAACUAGUGUUUAUUAAAAUUAAGGUAAUUGACUUUAACAAAAAUUGAGAUUUAAUUGCUACUUAGUUCACAUGAAGUAAAUCUCCAGUGCUCUAUGAAAAGCCUGAUCAUUUU